UGGGGAAUUUUGGACAAUGGGGGCAAGUCUGAUCCAGCCAUACCGCGUGCAGGAUGAAGGCCCUCGGGUUGUAAACUGCUUUUGUCCGGAAAGAAAAGCCCUUCUCUAAUACGGAGGGGUCAUGACGGUACCGUCAGAAUAAGAACCGGCUAACUUCGUGC
rnacentral:rRNA from 1 species